rnacentral:lncRNA from 1 species
GGCGUAAAUGCUCCAUACUUGUGGGUUCACUUUAGAGGAUCAAAAUCAUGGGAUGUGUUUGCUGAGAUUCUUGAAAAGACUCACAUAAUUACAGUCCCUGGCUCAGGUUUUGGACCUGGUGGAGAAGAAUAUUUAAGGAUCAGUGGGUUUGGACGUAGAGACGAUAUGAUUGAAGCAUCAAGGAGGUUGCGAAAUUUCUUCAACACUCGAACCAAGCAUUUUCCUUUUCUCUCUUCCGCUUCUAAUACAAACUAAGUUGAACGCAUAUCGGGACUUGUAUUUAUCUUGCCUUGAAUAAUACCUCCCACUUGUAUGAUGUAUAUAAAUAAAAGCUCUGGGACCAUGUUUAACUUUUAUUCAUUAUUAAUAAAAACAAAAUAAAUAUGCAAUAAUAUUAAGGUAAAUAUUACUUUACGACUAAUGAAAAAGAAAAGAAUAAAUAAAUAUGUAACCAUGUUAACAGAAACUAACCACAUUAUUUUACCUUUAUGUUGAAGCAUGCACCCUUUCAUUGGAUAAUGGACUAAAAAUGAUUAUUGCCAAUUCAUAAUACAAAACAACACAUUCUAUAAAAUAAUUACGUAAAAAUUUCACAGCAUUUUUAUAGGAAGAUGUUUUAUUAGAAAUUUUCAAUAAGUUCUCAAGUGAGUAUUUUAUAAUUUUAAAAAGAAUAAUUAAAAAAUAAAAGAGAGGGAUAAUGAAUUUUCAAAUGAGCAAAAAAAUAAAAAGAAUUUUCAAAUGAAAUUUUUUGAUAUCCAUGAGACAUAGACAUAAAAAAGGUGAUAUUUUUCGUUGUUUCUUGGUGGUUUUCAAAUCUUUUAGUUUCUAUUUGUUUCUUUUUCAUGGCAAGACUUUUUAUCUACUUGGAAAUGAGGCAACUGUUCCUCGAAACGUAAAUGAACUGAUGCCGCUUAUUAAACUGAACGCUAACGUUUUUCUUUUUGCUCUUAAACAAGAUGGGUGAUAUAUUUUAUUGGUUCGUAAACAAUUAUCGUACAGAUUAUUUGUACUCUUUUGCUAAGAUUUAAACCUGAAUGUUGGGUUUCGUUUCUAAAAGCUUCACGAAUCUAUAUACUUUGUUUGAAGAACCUCCAAGAACCUCCAAGCUUUCCCAUGCCUUCUUGUGUUCCACUCGCUCCAGAUAUAGUAAACCGUAAUUUGAAAACCAUUCACACCAGAACUUUAUCCAGUUUAGAGAGCCACGAUCAUGUUGAAUCUUCGCAACAGUGUUCAGCUAAUCCGGUGUUAUACAGGUACCAAGAAGUCUUUAUGUCACUCAUAUCCAAACCAUGUAAUUGUAAGGACAUGCGAAAAAAGAUGGUUUCUAGUUUCAUUCUUCUCCACACACCGCAAACACUCCUGUUGAAAGCCCCAAACCCUCAUAUGAUCUCCAGUAAACAUAUAAUUCUUGAUCGCUAGCCAAGUAAUUAAAGAAAACCUCGGAACAGCUUGCGAAAACCAAACCACAAUACUCCAAUCGACCUUUUCUUGUAUGUCUCUGAUCUGAUCCCAGGUGUUUUACUGCAACAUGUGCAGCAAUAAAUUUUUUUAAUUUUAAAUUAUAUUUAAAGAUAAAUUUUAUUAUUAUCUUACAUUUUAUUAUUUUUACCAAUAUUUUAAUAUAAAUUUUGAUUUAUUUAGACAUAAAUUAAGAUAAAAUAAACUUUUUACUUUAUAUUAGAUUUAAGAAUAUAUAUAUAUAUAUUUAAAAUUAUUUAGAUAGAUUUUUAUCUAUUUCUUUUGGAUAAAAUCUAUUAAAUCAACUUGGAUAUAAAGUUGUAUAAUUAUUAAAAUGUAAAACUAAAGAGUAUUUCUAAAAUUUGUAGAUAUAUAAAAACUAAUAAUAUUGCAAUUAAAAAUUUAUAAUUUUUUUAAGAAAUUGUAAUUUUUUUGAAAAUAUUUGUUUUUAUAGAAUUGUAUAAUUACAAAAUAUAGAAAUAUAUAAUAUUUUAAAAUGUGUAAAGUAUUAUUAUAUUUCUAUUAUUAUAUUAUUUAAUAUCAUAUUUGAAUUGAUUUACUUUAAUGAUGACGUAUAAUUUACCAAAAAUAUAAAUAAGCAUUAAAUUUAAUUGUCCAUAUCACAUUUAACCAAAAUCUAUGUCAUCAUUUCUUGCAUGACAUGUCACAUUUAUAUAGUGAAAAUGAUUGUAAGAGGACAUAUGUCAAAAUCACUUUGCAAAUAAUGUCUAGGGGAUUGACAUGUUUAUAUCACAUUUUACUUGGGGUCAUUUGAACUUGCUUGGAGUAUAUAUAUACGUGCUUAAUAGGUUGUAUCAUUGAUAUAUAACACCUUAAAAGCUGUUAUAACUUGGAACUAAAGAAUGGUCAGUCUAACGUUCUUCAGUUCGGCCUCAUCUUUGUCCUCUUCUCCAUCAAAAAUUGUCAAGUCUAGGUACUGGUUCACAUUCGUAAUGAAAGACAUAUGCUAAAAGUUUUUUCCUCCAUCUUUAUGUUAUAAUCCGGUUAUGUUGCACUACUCUUUCUCUAUUCUACAGUUUAGAGUUCGAGUUGAAGAAACUUGGUAAGAUUUUUUUUUUUUUUGCUAAAUGGUAAAUAUCAUUCAAGAAUGAAAGUUUGGUUACAACAUAGGUGAACCUGAAUAUGCUUGACAGCAAUUCUGUUUCAUAGAGGCUGCAAAAAGUUUAAAAAAACCUCUAAGAAACACAUGAAUUAGAACCAGAUCAACCAUAAGUGGUGUUCAUGGAGCUAAUAGAUAUUAGAACAAACCGACAACAAAUAAACUCUCAACUCAAGGGACGCUACUUGUAUCAUGGCAGAACCAUGAAGAACAUUAGCAAAGCAAAGAGAGGAACACCCGAACACUCACCCGAGGGUGGCUCCUAGCGGCUUCAACGGAGGCGACUGGCAACGGCUCCGGGACACCAGAGGAGGAGGACGUUGAGCAGAACCAAACCCAAAGCUUUCUCGGCAACAAAACCCCAUAGUGGACCCAACAAUACUCUGCCUGACAUGAAGAACAGACCUGUCAAGCGCAGGCGGUAAAUUUGGCUCCUGGCUCCCCAACCGGCCACGCGACGUUAAAAUGCGGCUGAGACAUCGGAGAAUCACACUGAGGUUGCGCCGGUGAAGAGAAGAGAAGUGAAGCACCGGAGGAGAGAACAGAGCUCUCCUCAAAUCAUGAGCUGCAACAGGAAGGGAGACUCGCCUUGUAGCUGAUAGCACCGUCACGGGAUCGUCCUCAAAACCCAAGGGAGCGGUGACAGACAGCGAGAAGGGAAAGCUCCAAGCUAACUUCAUUGCAGACCAUGGAAGUCGUCGAUUGGAUCUAGAAACAGAGGUCAUCAACGACGGUGAGCCUAGCACCGUCGAUUCUCCAAACGGAGGGGAUGGAUCAUGAGAUCUUUUGACAUGUAAGACAAUCUCUUGACGUUAUGCUUACUUGAUUUCAUCCACAGCUACUCCUAGGUUCCGGUGUCACAAUUGCUGUGCAAGAUCCUACCUUCCCAGUACGUAAUGUCAUCGAUUUUAUUUUAUGUUUCAUCUGUACUUUCUUUCAAUAACUGCUGAACAUAAAAAGCUUAAUUGGCUAAAAGAUGGAAAUAGAGAACUUCUUGUGAAUGCUAGUCUUUGCCUCUUAUGUUGCCUUCUCUUUGUGGAAUUAGGCUUACAUAGAUUCAAGUGUGAUUAUUGGCCAGACUGGUAAUUUCCAUGAAGCAACCAAGAAGUACCAAAACGUUGUCUAUAUGCCUUGUGGACCUCAAAAUAGUUUUUUCCCUGAUCUAUCAAAGACUCCAAGAACUGAUGUCAUCUUCUUUUGUUCUCCUAAUAACCCUACUGGUUAUGUGGCUUCAAAAAAACAACUACAUCAACUAGUUGAGUUUGCAAAGACCAAUGGUUCUAUUAUUAUUUUUGACUCUGCAUAUGCUGCAUUUAUCGAAGAUGGCAGCCCACGUUCAAUAUAUGAAAUCCCUGGUGCUCGAGAGGUGAGACGAGUUUUCAUGUAUAUGUUCCUUGGAGUUAUGUUUCCUUACAUUCAACAUAUAUAUUCACAACCACUCAUCAUAUUACAUUUUGCUAGGUUGCAAUUGAAAUUUCAUCAUUCUCUAAGUUUGCUGGUUUCACUGGUGUUCGGCUUGGUUGGACUAUCAUCCCUGAUGAGCUCUUGUACUCUAAUGGUUUUCCCAUUAUAAAUGAUUUCCAUCGCAUUGUGACAACUUCCUUCAAUGGAGCUUCAAAUAUCGCUCAGGCGGGUGGAUUAGCAUGCCUUUCUCCUGUUGGACUUAAGGUAGUUAAAUGUUUUAGCAUUAGUUUGAAUAUUUUGUUUAUUUUUAUUCAACAUCCUCUUUAUUUUUUCUUUGGUUAAACAUGAUAGGAGAUACGCUCGGUGAUCAAUUACUACAAAGAGAACAGAAAGAUACUAAUGGAGACUCUGGCCUCGCUCGGCCUCACGGUUUAUGGUGGCGUAAAUGCUCCAUACUUGUGGGUUCACUUUAGAGGAUCAAAAUCAUGGGAUGUGUUUGCUGAGAUUCUUGAAAAGACUCACAUAAUUACAGUCCCUGGCUCAGGUUUUGGACCUGGUGGAGAAGAAUAUUUAAGGAUCAGUGGGUUUGGACGUAGAGACGAUAUGGUUGAAGCAUCGAGGAGGUUGCGAAGUUUCUUCAACACUCGA